rnacentral:tRNA from 1 species
GCCGGGGUGGCGGAAUUGGUAGACGCAAGGGACUUAAAAUCCCUCGGUUACUAAAGUGACCGUGCCGGUUCGAUUCCGGCCCUCGGCA